CAGACGCCAUCCUGGUGGAUAAAGGCUACGAGGUUCCUGCUGGCAGGACGGGAGGCAAGGCCCCUGGCCCGUCGCGUAGACCCUAACUGCUGGCUGUGUGACCUCAGGCUGGUCCCCAAACCUCUCUGGGCAGUGUGUUCUUUGGAUCCUGUGCAGGGCCAGCCUCCAGGGAGCGUGUGAGCCAAUCCGGUCCCGGUCCAGGGGACUGGCCGGGCUGGUACUGCCAUGGGGUCUGUGCACAUGGCCUGGAAGUCACACGGGGCCCUCUCGACAAGGUCAAGCCAUUCUGUGAUCCAAUAGGCAAAGGCACCUGUUUCUUUCUGCCGGGAGUUCCUGCUCUCACUGCCCAUCCUUGACUCGGCCUGGGUGCGGGGCUGGCGCUGGGAUGCUGGGCUCCGUCCCCGGGUCACGGCCCAGCCCUGGCCUGGCUUUGCCAGCGGGCAGCUGGCUGACCUCUGGCCGGCCGCCCCCGGAAGGGAAACACGCGGAACGUACGUUUGUGAGGGCAGGUGGGACAGCCCAGGGGUCCCUGGCUGUGCCUGGCUGUCCCCCCUCCCCCCAAAUGGCCAGGAGGGCCGUCAGCACGAGAAGGACGUGUCCUUCAGAAAGACAGGUUACCCCCAAACCUGUGAGUGCCCUGAUUUGGAAAUAGGGUCUUUGCAGAUGUCUGGGGGAAUGGGGUCGUGCUGGAUUAGGGUGGCCUCGAUCCAGUGACCGGGGUCCUUGUGAGAAGAGUGGAACUUAGACACACUGGGAGGAGGGCAAGUGACACUGGAGGUGGAGGUUGGAGUGACAGGUCGGUAAGCCCAGGGAUGCCAGGACUGCCGGGGGCGCCCGAAGCCGGGGCAGCGAGCGAGCGUCCCUGAGAGACAGGGCCACCUGCCCGCACCUUGACCUUAGACCCCCCGCCUCCAGAACUGCGCCUCCGCUGGGCUAAGCUCCCAGCUGCUGGCCCUUUGUUACAACAGCCCCGGGACCUGCCCGCGCCCACUGCCGCUGUCACCCUCCGGUCACCGCUCAGACGGACGCGAGAGAACGUGCUGGUCUCCUCCCAUCUGAACACGUCCAAGGGCAAGGCUGGCCUCUGUCCACAGCUUACGGGCUUCUUCCAUUGUUGGGGGCUAAGCUGCUCUUUUCUGAAGGGAAGGCGGCCGGCGACACCCCGUUUCCCAGAUGGAAAAACCAAGGCUCUUCGGGGGCUCCCCACACCCACGCCGUCGCUUAGCUCUCCACAACCGCAUCUCCCGCUGCCCGCCCGGGUCAGCCUCCUUCCCGCCCAGAUGUUGGACCGAGUCCUCGGAGUUCCCGGCAGAGGGGAGAGGUCAAGAAAUUUCCGAGCUCAAAUGAGGACAGCCGCCUGGCUCUGUGACCUGCUUCGUGGAGAGCCUGGGAGGCGACUGUGGGGCAGCGAGCUGGUCGGUGACUCCAGCCCGGGCAGUGCGACCCGUUUCCCUGAGCUCACACCGCCCUCGGCCCUGUCGAACAGAAGCGGGCUCCGUCCAGGCCUGAGGUUGUGGCCGCUGGACUCCUGGAGCCCGACUGGUCAGCCCAGCCCAAGCCGCACCGCCACUGAGAGCCACCAGAAGCCACAGGAGCCUCCCCACCCCGCGCUCCCUCCCCUGGGCUGGCUGCCCGCACAGGGACACAGGGACCCGGCCACCAAGGUGACGUAAGCCGUAAGCGGCAGAAAUUGGUCCUCCUGGAGUUCUGUGAGCUGCUUCUGGAUGACCAGUGAAAGGCACGUGUCUGAGACAGAAGGGGUGCGCGAGCCUGAGCAGAGGAGAUCGGGUUCCAUCCAAGGAGGCACAGACCCUCUUCAGCAGGUGAAAGACUGAAUCAGAAACAGCAGUCUGGCUUACGGCGCCCGUCAGCCGAGACAACCGUGGGAUACAGGGCACCAGAAACACUGCAGGAAUGCUCACAACCAAGCGAAGUGGGACGCCAGGCGCCCCGCCGGAGCAGAUGUGAAGUGUGGACGCGGCAAAGUCCGCGAGGGCAGCGCCGAGGGCCCACGCCGCUCGUCAGGGCGCCGGAGCGUUUGGGGGCUUGGCCAACGCCGCGGGAGUCAGGAACCAGGGAGAAGCCAACUGCCGAAGACAGCGACAGUGUGCGAGGACCCGCGCCACCUACCGAAGCGCCUGGGGCCGGCAGGGGCCGCCGCGCGUCGCAUACGGGCGGUGCUGGAGGCGGCGAGGACACCGGACCUGCACACACUUGCCGAGUCUCACGGGAAUCCACCACUUGGACCACUUUUUAUUGAUAAACAGGUACACACAUUAAAAGCCUCACACCGAAGCCGGACACACGCGCCCACCGCGGACAACGGAUGUGCAGAUGCGUGACGCAGCGCGACUCCUGGCGGCUCGCCGCGUCUGGGCCCCUGGGGCCUGUCCCUCUGGUGGGGACACGGCCCCCGCCCCGGGGCUCUCAGUCCGUCUCCGGGACAUCCCUCCGCUUUGCUCGCCCGGCUCCAGCUGCGGUAGGUCCCCCGUGGAUCUGCGUCAGCAGGGGCGGAAGCCUGACUAGGACAGGGUGCGGGUUCGUUAAAACCAAAACC